rnacentral:rRNA from 1 species
GGAGGUUACUGCUAUCGGUGUUCGCCUAACCCAUGCGAGUCAUAUGUUCUUCGUGAACAUGGCGUACUGCUCAGUAACACGUGAAUAACCUGCCCUUGGGACCGGCAUAACCCCGGGAAACUGGGGAUAAUUCCGGAUACCGCAUAUAUGCUGGAAUGCUUUAUGCGUGAAAUGGAUUCGUCUGCCCAAGGAUGGAUCUGCGGCCUAUCAGGUAGUAGUGGGUGUAAUGUACCUACUACCCUACAACGGGUACGGGUUGUGAAAGCAAGAGCCCGGAAAUGGAUUCUGAAACAUGAAUCCAGGCCCUACGGGGCGCACCAGGCGCAAAAACUUUACAAUGCGGGAAACCGUGAUAAGGGGACACCGAGUGCCAGCAACAUUUGUUGGCUGUCCAGGUGUGUAAACUACACCUGUUAGCAAGGGCCGGGCAAAACCGGUGC